AACGGCUCAGGCUGGUCCGCCGCUCGACUUGAGGUGCAAACCAACACAGGCUGCUGCAUCGUCACAAGGGUGGGUGGAUUACUGCCUAUCGGUUUGCCACUGCGGUGGUCGAGGAAUGAAUCGUGCACCCUUGUGGUGGGCUGUUUGCACCUAUGCGCUCGUGGUGUUGGUUGGCGGGCUUUCCAUUCGACCCAUCUUGAAACACAGACCAAGGAUUCUAACAUGUGUGCGAGUCGGCGGGUUUGAAAACCUGCGAGGCACAAGGAAGCUGACGGGCGAGAUCCCCUCUCUGGGGGGGUGCAUCGUCAACCGACCUUGAGCUUAUGCGAAGGGUUCGAGUGCGAGCACACCUGUUGGGACUCGAAAGAUGGUGAACUAUGCCUGAGCAGGGCGAACAGAGGAAACUAUGGUGGAGACUCAUAGCGAUACUGACGUGCAAAUCGUUCAUAUGACUUGGGUAUAGGGGUGAAAGACUAAUCGAACCAUCUAGUAGCUGGUUUCCUCCGAAGUUUCCCUCAGGAUAACUGGAGCUCACGCGCGAGUUUUAUCAGGUAAAGCAAAUGAUUAGAGGCAUCGGGGGUGUAACGCCCUUGACCUAUUCUCAAACUUUAAAUAGGUAAGAGGGUGUGGUUGCUCCAUUGAGC
rnacentral:rRNA from 1 species